ACAGAAUUUCCACGACCUUUCAAUCAGUUUAGCUGAAUCAACAUAAAACUUUUUGUAUAUAAUGCUUGUCCAAUAUUUAUGCUCCAGGAAACUGUUUAACAGGUGGGAGAUGGUUAUCGUCUGGCCACACAAAGCCUAGGGUCACCAGGUGAAAUCAAGAUGUUUUUUGGGAUUUCUUUACAACUGAUCAUUGGAUGUGAUGAAUAGAGGUGACACCUGUUUUUGUUUUGUAAGCAGAUAAGUCUGAAGGGCAUCAAGGAUUGUAUGAAGUAUCUAUAUGCUUGAGGAAAAUCAGUGUCCUGAAACCAUCAACCACAUUAUCCAUCUUAUACAAGACAAUUCCUGUCUAACAGGCAAAGGACCUAGCGGGAAAUAACAGGAAGAUCACUGAUCCUUCAACUGUCCUGAUUUCCUCAAUCAGUUCCUGCACCUGCCUGCACAGCAGGACAUUUUUGUGCCCUAAUGGAGGUGUUGAUUAAUUUGUUUUUGAAGAUAAUGACAUUUCUUUUAAAGACACUAAUGAAAAAGGUCAGUCUAUUUGCUUCAGUGUUUCAUGACAUUUCAGCUACUAGGUCUUUAAUUAAGUGCCUGAUGACAACAGUUCCAUGUGGAGGGGGUUUGGGUUAAAAUUUUUAUUAUGGUUCAUGAUCUCUGAUGCUCACAAAUUCACAAAGAUUAGAUUUCUUAUCAGACAGUUUGUAAACAGCUUUCAAGUGUCAAGAGUGAGUAAAAUUCAGAUCUUUAUGCAUAGUCAUUUGGAGGAUCAUUUUAUCUGCACAUGCAUCUAGAAUUUUGUCCAUUUGCCUAUUAUCAUUUGAUCAGUAUGGUAAAUAGUAUCAGACACCCAAGAGGUUAUAUCUAAUCAAUAUACACUGGAACACACUACCAACAGUGUGUUUGGUUAGCUUUUCUUGCUUCUCAAAUACAGAAUUCGAGGUCAUCCUUUCAUUCCUUUAGAUAGUCUGAGUGUAUACUCCCGAUAUAAAAUCUAGUAAUCAUAUUUAUUACAGAGACCCUUAUCACUGGGGGAUGAGUCAUUUGUUGAGAAUAACAGAAUUCACAUUUUCUAAGAGGUCAGAAAAAGAUGGAGGAAUUAUUGACUAAUUAUAAGAUAUCAUAUGACAGAAAUA